AAAAGAAACCGAGACACUGUGGCCGAGCCCAGCGCUGUCUCUGUGACUGUGACAUGAAAAGAUGGCGCUCUCUCCCCUCCCCCAGCCUCCCUCUCGGUUUACACUUCCUCCCCAACAGCUUUUGCCUUCCAGUUUUUUAAAGCCCUCUUUGCUCCUUCCUUCCCCCCCUCUCCCCCGGCCGGAUACCACCAGCUUCCCAGCCGGUCGGCAGAGAAGCCACGAGUACGUGAUCUCGCUGAACCUGUCGGUUGUGCUCUCUGGAGCAGCAGGGAAACCGGACACCUUUAUCAGUGACCCCCGGAGCCGUUCUCCCGGGCGUUCGCUGUGUUUAUCGCCACCUAACCCUGGGCAGCCCGCGAGUGCCGUGUCACGGCCCCCUGCCCCGCCCGGGGAUGUCCGUGCGGCUGGCGGUGCCCCGCGGUGUCACCCCGCCUCUCCGGGAAGGAGCAGGCGUGUAUGGCCUCCCCAGGCAUGUCCCUUCUCCGGCGUCUACUUCAUCUAUUCGUUAUCAGGGGACAGCGUGUGGAGUGACUGAGCCUAAUAAGUUGUCCACUUGUUCAUUUCAGGAGCAUUGAUUUCUGGUUCCAAGGCACUCUGUUCUAGCUCUGGCUACAGCUGCGGGGCAUUCGCAGCUGGUCUUUCGCCUAGACAAAUAUCAGCGAGAAUGUGAGCGUUAUUAGCCACAUAAAUAAAUCAUUAACGUGCACACAAAUGUUAUUUUAGCAUAACUUCCAGGGAGAAAAUAUCCUGGCGGGGUAAGGCGGCCAGGCGUGCUACGUCGGACCGGCCUCGUCGCGGGCUGCCCGGCAGCGGCGGGCGGGGGUCGGCGCCCCCCGGCACGGAGAGGCACGGUUCCCCGGCUCCCGAUUGAACAUUAACAGGGCCGGCCGGCGCGGCACGGCCGCAGGGCCUCGCUUCGCAGACCUUUGUCUGCUCUCCCGAGGCCGGGCGGGGACGCCGGGCGCUUUACUGCCCAAACGCGACGGCACUAAUGAGAUUACCGGCCGGCUGGCCGCGGCUGGGGCUGGGGAGCGCCGAGGCGGCGGGCAGAGCCCCGGCCCGGCCGCUGCGCCCCGUUCCAGGGCAGGAACGGCGCUGGCCUCGGGCCUCCCGCAAAGGGCCGCCGGCUCCCCCCGUGCCCCGGCGGCGGCGAGCGGGGAGCGGCAGCCGCCGCCGCCCGGGCCGCGCUCGCCCUACCCCGCGGAAUCCCGCGGGUGCCAGUAAAGCCCUGCCUGGGAGCCCUGCCAAGGCGGUCUCGCUUUGAUAUUCCGCGCCACGGCCGCUCCUCCGCUUGCUCCUAAUCACGCAAAUGCGAGCUUGCCCCGGCACUCUCCAUAAUAAACACUGAGCGCGUUUCGCCGGGCGCCCUAAGUAAAUACUGUAUGGGAGAAGCGGGGCUGCGCUGGGAGGCUGAAAUCUUCCACUUUUUUUGCACUUAGCAACAGACUGAGGCGUCGUGCGCGCCCUCCCCGAGCCAGGCUCGGUGUGAUUUACUUUCUGGUUGCAAUGCAGAUAUUCACUUGUCAGUUCAAGGGCAGGACAGAAACUGUGCAAGCGGAGUCUUGUGAACGGAAAUCUCCCAUUUACGAGGUUCUGCUCCAGCACCAAAAGCCACCCUCCAGCACCUUUGUUCUGCAUGCAGCUGCUCUUACACACACACCCCUCCGCCCUCCACCCAGCCACAUCACCAUCCAACCCUUCUUCCCGCGUCUCACUCAGAUGGAUUCUCAGUUUUUUUCCCGACUGACCCUGGGAGAGGCGGCGGGGGGGAGCAAGGGGGAGGGAGCCCGGGAGAGGUUGAUGAUGAAUGACAAGGCAAAUGAUAAGAGCCGAAGCGACAGCGAAAGCAAACAGAAGUGGUCUCGCGCAGGGCCCAGAACCGUCCGCGGCCACGGGAGUUGUGCCUGUGCCAUGAAGGCAGGGUUGUCCUCCGCAGGCAGCCCGGCUUCUCCGGGGCGAGAUAAACACAUUUCGGUCACGUGGCGAGCCUAUACGGUGCCAUGCUCCUAUUUGCCUUCCCCGCUCGCUUUUCGCUUUUCACAAUAACAUGCCAUCCGCCAGCCAGCUCCGAGGCUAACCUCACCUUCCUGGCGCCCGGCCAGCCCGCCCGGGCCCGGCUGUGGAGGGAGAAGCCGCGACUCCCGUGGGGAGGUUGCAUCCCGGCCUGGGGCUGGCAGCAGCCCAAGCCAGAGCCGUGGAAGCGUCCGGCUGCAUCCCGGUUUGGGGCUGGAAUGGGAGCUGGCUGCACGGGGGGGAGCAGGGUCCAGGACUGGCCACAUCCCCGGGACAGGGCUCAGGAGGAGCGCGGUGUCCCCGCAGGGUGGAGUUUCUCCCGGGCACCGCAGCAUUGUAUCCCUGACCCCUGUAGUCCAAUCGUCCCUUCCUGCGCUGCCUCCGCUGCUCCCCAACCCCGAAGGCCUCGAAGGCCUCGUCGUUUCCACUCCACCUUCACUGCUGACACUCCGUCACCAUAGUCACAGACUCCACCUUCGCUGCUGCCACUCCAUCACAGACCCCGCCUUUACUGCUGUCAUUCUGUCUUCAUGGCUACCCUUCACAGCCUGUCAUGCAGCUGCCAGCUCCACCCUUAAUGUAAAGACCUCACAGCUCCCAGGGGACACUGCUCUACCCAGAAGCCCAGUAGAGGGGAAUAAACCUCCUGGGCAGCUAACCAGAGCAAAAUAAGAACCUGCGAGGAGCACCACCGAGCUGAGCAAACUACCUAGCUGCCGACGAGAGUCGCUUCCUGCCUCGCCCUCACUUGCAACGCACUGGAAGACCAAGACACCCCUAGACUAAACCAGCCAUAAUAAGCUUCUUCGCGCUUUCGCGAGGACAGGAGCCCCCGACCUCACAGCAGCAGUGAUCGGUAGCAGCGGGUUCGACGGAUCCUCUUCCGCGGCGCAGACUCCGAGGGAGCAGCAGCAGC